rnacentral:lncRNA from 1 species
CUCAUCAAAACUUUGUCACAGUGAGUGGUCAGAAGGCAUACGCCAGAACUCCAGCAUUAUCCAACAGCUGUCACUUCCAUUUAAGGGACCAACGCAUUCUCUCAUGGACACUUCCUGGGGCAGCCUUUUGCAAAUUGCUCAUCUAACAAUCGAGAAAAUGAGGAAGGUGUUUACUUCAAAAUAAUCUUAGAAAUUGACAACAUGAAAUGAUGGAUGGUUUCUUAAGGACAAAGACCAUAGUGGGACUCUGAAUCUUCAGGGACCAGCAAAAUUCUUGGUGAUAUCAAGGUCUUUCUCGGAUCUAGGAGAGAUGAAAUCAGAGCCUGAUGUCUUCAAGUUCUGAAAAGAGACAUUUACCGUCUAUUCUUUCUGAAGCCUCCUGCCUGGAGGCUUCACUUACAUAACAAGAACCCUGGUCUUCACAACCUCCCUUAUGUUACUUUGGGCAUUUCUUUCUUCUGAUUUCAAGUCUUUAGACAAAGCUUAACUCUUUCAAUCAAUUGUCAAUUAGAAAAUCUUUGAAUCCACUUAUGACUUGUAAACACACCAUCUCUUCAAGAUAUCACAUCUCUUUAGGCUGAACCAGCAUAUACCUUACAUGUAUUGAUUUGUGUUUUUGCCUGUAACUUCUGUUUCCCAAAAUGCAUAAAACCGAACUGUAAGCUGACUGCCUCAGGCACACCUUCUCAAAACCUCUGGAGACUGUUCCCCAGGCCAUGGUCUGUCAUACUGGGUCAGAAUAAACUUCUUUAAAUAUUUUACUGUGCUUUGUUUUUCCAUUAACAAGCUCAUGGAUUGACUUACAGAUAUACCCACCCAAUUAUCAUGCUAAACUCCUUAUAGAAGUGCCCAGAAUAGAAAUGGUCAUCACCAUCUCUUCACCUGAUAUGUGGCAUCCAGGCCAAAGCCUGCUUUCUCCAUUACAUUCCAUUUCACAUCCUCUAUCCUAUCCUAGGAAGUCUUAGGAUCUGUAUAUUUAUUUAGCACAUAUGAAAUAUUUUUUGUUAAAAAAAUUGUAAAUAAAUCUUUAUAGGCAUAGUAAUUUUCUUUUCUAGUUUUGUUCUCUCGUUUUUAAGGAUCAUUUGCUCAUUGUAAAAACUUUAAGAAUUUAAAAUUUAUGAAAAAACGCAGUUGUGGUUCUCCCCAAAACCAAACCUUGUUAACUUUUUCAUCUGUAUCUUUCUAGUGGGAUAAAAAUAUGUGCGAGCAAAUCAGUGUUUGACCAUAUUUUUAUUACAUAAAA